rnacentral:lncRNA from 1 species
UGGUCACCUGCACUAACAGCCUGAGAGAAAAGGACACUGCAUAUCACAGAGAGAUGCAUAGAUGUUACACUCAGAAAGAGAGUGAACAACUAGAAGAUGUGGAAGAACCAGUUUGGCUCUGGAGUCAAGAAUUCUCAAAACAGCUUUCUGAACCUGAAUCGCACGCAGUAAAGCUGGUGUUCUCCUGAAGCCAACAUUUAUGGUAUCACCUUGCUGAUCCAGGCAAAAUGGCAAAAGUGUAGUGAACAUAAAGCCAGGGGCUGAGAUUGUGGAUGUCCUCUGUACCAAGUUUCUUAUUAUGGUAAGGGUAGAAGUUCACCAGGUCAGUAAUGUGAUUUUGUCCAAAGAGCCAUUUCUGGAGAUCUAGCCUAAACAUUGCUCCUCCAACUCUUCCCAUAAUUUGUUAACAAUUGAAUAAUUGUUCUGUUUAAAAUAGUUUGGAUGUUUUAUGUUUUCUGCAACUUUACUGUUAUCAUAACAAAGACAUAAAUAAAGAUCUAAAUAAAGUCA